rnacentral:pre_miRNA from 1 species
AUCACCUGGAGACCUUGUUAAAAUGCAGAGUCUGAUUCAGCAGGUCCAGGGUGAGGCCUGAGAUUCUGUAUUUCUAAUAAGCUGCCAGGUGAUGAUAU